rnacentral:rRNA from 1 species
GACAGAGGGUGCAAACGUUGCUCGGAAUUACUGGGCGUAAAGCGCGUGUAGGUGGAUUGGUGUGUCAGAUGUGAAAUCCCUGGGCUCAACCCAGGAACUGCACCUGAAACUACCAGUCUUGAGUGGUGGAGAGGGAAGUGGAAUUCCUGGUGUAGAGGUGAAAUUCGUAGAUAUCAGGAGGAACACCGGUGGCGAAGGCGGUUCUCUGGGCCUUACCUGACGCUGAGGAGCGAAAGCGUGGGGAGCAAACAGG